CUCCUCGUUAAGCUCUCCCCACGUUUGGUGUUUUUACCCUUUGGCAGCCGUUUGUAUUCCGCUUGUUUGCUAAUAUUGAAGAUGCCAAAAGCUAAGAAGGAGAAAGCCGCUAAGCCUAAAACGGGUCGCCAGCCUUCUGCUUAUAAUCUUUUUAUGAAAGCAGAAAUUCAACGUGUUAAAGCGGAAAAUCCUUCACUUUCGCAUAAAGAAGCAUUUUCUAAAGCAGUCCAAAAUUGGAAGACGUCCAAAGAGAAGAAGACCUGAUUUGCUUAUAUUGUUAGUACUAUACAAAAUAUUAAAG